rnacentral:lncRNA from 1 species
GCGGGACCCGUUCCCGUGCCAGCGGGGCCAGGCCUCCGAGAGGGAGGGCCUCCAGGCCAGUUGGGGCGGCGGUGGACGGUCCCUGAGAGGCAGCCCCGGGAGCUGGGGGCCAGGCUGGUUCUUGUUUGGUUUCAGGACAGGUGCCACACCGUCCACCAAAGUGUUCACCAACUUGUGUGCCACCACGUUUGCCACCACCGCCUUCCCCUGCUGCACUAUAUCUGGAUCUGUCACCACCGUCUUCUGUGCCUUCGCUGCCCAUGCCGUGUUCCCCUCCACUGGGACUGUCCUCUCUUCCUUCAUCGCAGGCCUCCCCUCCGCCAUCACCUUCUCCGACAAUAUCUCCUUUGCCUUUGUUGCCACCACCGUCACCGCUGCCAUGUCCUGAGCCAUCCUCACAUUUGCGGUCACUGUCCUCUUCAACAGCACUGCCACCACCACUGUGACCACUACCAUUGCCACAGUCAACACCCACGCGGUCGUCCUGUGCUGCUUUGGAGCUUUCUUCACCCUCGGCUUCUCUGGAGCCUUCUCCUUCGCCCUCGGCUGCUCUGGAGCCUUCUCUCGCCCUCGGCGGCUCUGGAGCCUUCUUCAUGCUCUGCUCCUGUGGAGCCGUCGGCCUCCUUCUAUGCAGCCUCCGGACUGGGGCUGGCCUAGAGCCUAGAGCCUGAGGGCUGUCCUCCUCCACAUGCUCUCCGGGAGGGCCGUCCACCACGUCUACCACGCCCACCAUGUCCACCACACCCACCGCCUGCCCGCACUCCAUCUGCACCUGCAACCCCAGCCCUGUACCGCAGCCUCCGCUCACCUAAGAUGAGCUUACUUUGGACUUUCCUGAAACGCCGAGAGGCCUCUCCCCUUGGCCUUUGAUGCGGGAUCUCUGAGCCUUGGGCCCACAGAAGCCCCUCCCUCCAUUCAUUGGACUGGGGAGAGCUCAAGGUGCUGAGUUAAUAUUUGCUGAAUGUGUGGCCAAAGUCCAACAUCAGGGGCUUUCCACGAGCUCCCCACUGCUGGCAGCAUUUAUCUCUGGCUUCGGGAGCUUCAAAGGCUAAGGGUGGGCUUUACUCCUAGGGUUUCAAGGGAAGGGGUGUCCAGCUUUCAG